rnacentral:rRNA from 1 species
UACGCACUGUGCGAACGUUAUUCGGAAUCACUGGGCUUAAAGGGUGCGUAGGCGGCCGAUUAAGUAGGGUGUGAAAUGCCAGAGCUCAACUUUGGCAUUGCGCUCUAGACUGGUUGGCUUGAGUGAGAUAGGGGUGUGCGGAACUUCCAGUGGAGCGGUGAAAUGUGUUGAUAUUGGAAGGAACGCCGGUGGCGAAAGCGGCACACUGGGUCUUAACUGACGCUGAGGCACGAAAGCCAGGGGAGCGAACGGG